UAAGAAUUUAAAAGUCGAACAGACUUAUUAAUAAGAAUGCUGCUUCCUAUAAUAUUCUUAAUUCAACAUCGAGGUCGCAAAAUAUAAUAUAGAUGUGAACUCCCCAUUAAAAUUACGCUGUUAUCCCUAAGGUAACUUAAUCUUUUUAUCCCUUUCUAUUUAGGGAUCUUAAGUUUCAUUAAUAAAUGAUAUAAAAAACUAAAGUUUAUAUUUAAUUACCACCCCAGCAAAAAAUAAAUUUUAUACAAUUAAUAAUCCUAAUUAAAUUAAAUAAUAUAAAUUUAUAUAAAGUUCUAUAGGGUCUUAUCGUCCCAAUAACCAACUAAAGCAUUUUAACUUUAAAUUUAAAUUCUAAUUUUUAAAGAAAUAAAAUAUAUUUCUCAUACAUCCAUUCAUACAAGCUCCCAAUUAAGAAACUAAUUACUAUGCUACCUUUGCACAGUCAAAAUACUGCAGCCAUUUAGUUAAUAACCAUAGGGCAGAAGAUACUUUUUAUUUAACCA
rnacentral:rRNA from 3 species